rnacentral:lncRNA from 13 species
AUCUGGGAAAGAGACUUUGGAGAUUACGCUAUCCAGCAAUCUUUCAUUUCGGAAAGAUAUACGUCUAAACCACCCAGGCUGACAUCCUAUCGAAGGAAGCAAGGCUUUAGAGAUAGCAGUAGAAAGUUCCGGGACCUCUUUCCUACAUGAACAGCAGUCAAGUAUAUUUUUACAAGAGAAAACAUGACUCCAGGAACGUAAAUGCCUGCAGAAGACCCGAAUAGCCAUAUCUCAAAGGAAGACAUGCAGAUGACCAACAGAUACCCAAAGGAAAUGCUCAACAUCGCUAAUCAUCACAGA